AGCGGAGGGAACAUGUGGUUUAAUUCGAUGAUACGCGAGGAACCUUACCCGGGCUUGAACUGCAGGAGAACGAUUCAGAGAUGAUGAGGUCCUUCGGGACUCCUGUGGAGGUGCUGCAUGGUUGUCGUCAGCUCGUGCCGUGAGGUGUCGGCUUAAGUGCCAUAACGAGCGCAACCCCUCUCCGUAGUUGCCAUCGGGUAAUGCCGGGCACUCUGCGGACACUGCCACCGUAAGGUGUGA
rnacentral:rRNA from 1 species